rnacentral:sRNA from 1 species
GUUGUAUUUUGAGUCUAAAGUUGAAUCAAAAUGGAAUCAAAACGUGAACAUUAAAACUACAUUUUGUUAGCCUGUGGAUAACUAUGA